CUAUUAGCUUGUUGGUGGAGGUAAUGGCUCACCAAGGCGACGACGGGUAGCCGGCUGAGAGGGUGACCGGCACACUGGGACUGAGACACGGCCCAGACUCUACGGGAGGGAGCAGUGGGGAAUAUGCACAAUGGGCGAAAGACUGAUGCAGCGACGCCGCGUGAGGGAUGACGGCCUUCGGGUUGAAAACCUCUUUCAGUAGGGAAGAAGCCCCUUUUUGGGGUGACGGUACUUGCAGAAGAAGCGCCGGCUAACUACGUGCGAGCAGCCGCGGUAAUACGUAGGGCGCAAGCGUUAUCCGGAAUUAUUGGGCGUAAAGAGCUCGUAGGCGGUUUGUCGCGUCUGCCGUGAAAGUCCGAGGCUCUACCUCGGAUCUGCGGUGGGUACGGGCAGACUAGAGUGAUGUAGGGGAGACUGGUAUUCCUGGUGUAGCGGUGAAAUGCGCAGAUAUCAGGAGGAACACCCAUGGCGAAGGCAGGUCUCUGGGCAUUUACUGACGCAGAGGAGCGAAAGCAUGGGGAGCGAACAGGAUUAGAUACCCUGGUAGUCCAUGCCGUAAACGUUGGGCACUAAGUGUGGGGGACAUUCCACGUUUUCCGCGCCGUAGCUAACGCAUUAAGUGCCCCGCCUGGGGAGUACGGCCGCAAGGCUAAAACUCUAAGGAAUUGACGGGGGCCCACACAAGCCGCGGAGCAUGCGGAUUAAUUCGAUGCAACGCGAAGAACCUUACCAAGGCUUGACAUGUUCCAGACCGGGCCAGAGAUGGUCUUUCCCCUUUUGGGGCUGGUACACAGGUGGUGCAUGGUUGUCGUCAGCUGGUGUCGUGAGAUGUUGGGUUAAGUCCCGCAACGAGCGCAACCCUCGUUCCAUGUUGCCAGCGGGUUAUGCCGGGGACUCAUGGGAGACUGCCGGCGGUCAACCCGGAGGAAGGUGGGGAUGACGUCAACUCAUCAUGCCCCUUAUGUCUUGGGCUUCACGCAUGCUACAAUGGCCGGUACAAUGGGUUGCGAUACUGUGAGGUGGAGCUAAUCCCUAAAAGCCGGUCUCAGUUCGGAUUGGGGUCUGCAACUCGACCCCAUGAAGUCGGAGUCGCUAGUAAUCGCAGAUCAGCACGCUACCGAAGG
rnacentral:rRNA from 1 species